rnacentral:rRNA from 1 species
UACGUAGGGUGCGAGCGUUGUCCGGAAUUAUUGGGCGUAAAGGGCUCGUAGGCGGUUUGUCGCGUCGGGCGUGAAAACACUGGGCUUAACUCAGUGCUUGCUUCCGAUACGGGCAGACUAGAGUUAUUCAGGGGAGAACGGAAUUCCUGGUGUAGCGGUGAAAUGCGCAGAUAUCAGGAGGAACACCGAUGGCGAAGGCAGCUCGCUGGGACGGUACUGACGCUGAGGCGCGAAAGCGUGGGGAGCGAACAGG